CACGAACCAAAGUUUGGGGGAACCCG
rnacentral:rasiRNA from 1 species